rnacentral:rRNA from 1 species
AGCGCACCUUCGGGUGAGCGGCGGACGGGUUAGUAACGCGUGGGAACGUGCCCUUUUCUGCGGAAUAGCCACUGGAAACGGUGAGUAAUACCGCAUACGCCCUUCGGGGGAAAGAUUUAUCGGAGAAGGAUCGGCCCGCGUUAGAUUAGGUAGUUGGUGGGGUAAUGGCCUACCAAGCCUACGAUCUAUAGCUGGUUUGAGAGGAUGAUCAGCAACACUGGGACUGAGACACGGCCCAGACUCCUACGGGAGGCAGCAGUGGGGAAUCUUAGACAAUGGGGGCAACCCUGAUCUAGCCAUGCCGCGUGAGUGAUGAAGGCCUUAGGGUCGUAAAGCUCUUUCGCUGGGGAUGAUAAUGACAGUACCCAGUAAAGAAACCCCGGCUAACUCCGUGCCAGCAGCCGCGGUAAUACGGAGGGGGUUAGCGUUGUUCGGAAUUACUGGGCGUAAAGCGCACGUAGGCGGACUAAUCAGUCAGAGGUGAAAUCCCAGGGCUCAACCCUGGAACUGCCUUUGAUACUGUUAGUCUAGAGUUCGAGAGAGGUGAGUGGAAUUCCGAGUGUAGAGGUGAAAUUCGUAGAUAUUCGGAGGAACACCAGUGGCGAAGGCGGCUCACUGGC